CUGUCUGUAUGGGUCCACAUUUCAGGAACUGUGUUUUUCCUCUGGCUCCCAGCACUCUUGUCAUUACCCCUUGCAGGUGGAACCUAGAUGGGCAGCACCACAAAUCUUAUAAAGGUGUUAGCCCACACAGUGACUAUCACUGAAUGCUUUCAGGCUACUGUGCCAGCUCCAGCAGCCUUGCUGUGUCUGUUUCUUUAAAGCCAGAGGAAAUGAGCACCUACAGCCUCUCUGGGCACCUUUAUAAGGGCUGCUGGGGUGGGGAGGAGAGGGGUGGUUUGCUUUCUUACUUAUUUGCAGGUACUUGAGCACUUUUUUCUUUCCCAGUGCUUCUCUUUGUGGAAGUGUGCUGGGAGAUCUUUAGAAGCCCUUUAGCCUCCUUAAAAGAACAAUGGAACAGGAUGAUGAAAGACGAAAAAGGACAAACUGAGAAGAAACAGCAGCAACUCUUCAAGUUGGUGGCUACUAGAGCAGAAGACACGAAGAUAGCCUUGGCCUUUGUUGGAAUCUGGUUGGGGAAUAGAAACCAUAUUGUUUAACAUGGGUGACCAAUCACACAGUGUAUUUGAUUCCUGAACAAAAAUUACUUUGAGGUAUUGGUGUAGCGCUCAGCAACCCAUAGGCAAAAAUUGUUCUUAUUGAACCUCUUCACUGCGUGGUUAUAAGAAAAGCCUGUAACAAACGUUACCCACUUGUGGUCAGGAGAAGCAUGAAGUACAAUAAAUUAGUUUUACCAAGCACUUCAGUUACUGUAGCUGGCAGUAAACUUGUUUUAACUCCAGAAUAGAGUUGUGGAUAAAAUCUUUAGCAGAGAUUUUUUUUUUUUUGUGCAAUAUUGGGCUUUCAGUUCCUCAUGCUCUGGUCUUGCUGACAAUCACAGACUUGCUAUGCCUACCAAGAAAUGUACUCUAUUGGGGCAGCAGAAAUUUUCAGCAGCUCCUAAAUGCAGAAGCCAGCAUAGCUGAGCUAUUUGGGAUGAGAGCACCAUGACACAACUGCAGUUCCAGCAGGGUUUGGCACAAAGAUCGUGUGGGAAGCAUUUCCUUUGCCAGACCAGUGAUGAAAAGGAGAGAGGGGCUGAGAGUGGUAGGAGCUCCAAGUCCUGACUCACUGCUCAUGGUGGCCAAAGGAGGCCUCAGUUCCACAGACAGCAGCAGCAGGAGGGAAGUAUCCACUGAAGCAGAGUUCUGUGAGCUUGUCUUCCUCUUCCUCAUUAAGAAGAGUUGUACUUUUCUUCUGAGAUACACCUUCUCAUGCAGCAUUCACCAUCAUCAUCUGGAGAAUCUCUUUCUGCAUCCUAACCAAGUGGUCCUCUCAUGGUGCAGUCUGUUAGAAGCAGCUUCAGCAUACUGAUCAAGGCAGCCUGUGGGCUGUUUGCCUUCACCUGGUGGAGAUAGGCUUCCAUCUGAUUUUAUUCAGAAUAAAAUGAUUAAUUGCAAUGAAACAUGUGCAGACCAGCAAGAAAAUGAAGGAGCCUCUAAUGUGAAGAGUGGGAAUCUUUGUUUUUCUUUGUCUGUUAUAUAAAUUCAUUUGAUAUGUUGAUGUUUUCUCCCAGUGGAGCAAAGUACCACUGGGUAAAAGGUAAAAGAUGGCAGUGAACACACUGAAAAGAUGGGGGGGGGGGGGAAGACAUUAAAAAGAGAGGAAGAAAAAAAAACAAGCUGAAGAAGAGUUUUAAAUCAAAACUGUAUGGACCCUGAGGUUACUGUCGCUUCAGUGAAUAAAUCUUUCAGCUUUGGAGGCAGCUUCCAUGGCAGAGGAGAGUUCCCUCCUGCAGCGGGGUCAGCUGGACGUGGGACCUUGGCUGAGAAUACGGAGGAAAUAAUGUGUCCGCCGCCAUGUGGCUUCCCAGUAGGGGUCAUAAUUUUCCCCAAAUGUGCUGCAGAAGUGAGAUCUCACCUCUUCCUGUUGUUGGAGCCUGUGCUGGUUUAUCAAGAAAACCCAGCGAGUUGCACAGGUACUUAGGCCAUGAACUCAAAUAAGUUUACUCCUGAAUUGCAGUGAGGGGGCUGUUCUCACCUGCUUCUUGGUGCCCGGGGUCACUGUUGGGGAGGGCAGGAGGACUGCUGGCAGUGGGCCCAACCGUGUGCCAAAUGGACAGAGCCACCUGUGUCUGUGUCACUGUGCCUCCGUCCAAGCCAAACAGCCACUUCCUGGAGUCCCUGCUUGCGGAGGAAUGUCACUGUGCGUCACUGCUUGGAGCGGAAAUUGGAUAACACUGCUGAGAGAGAGCACAGGCCAUGGCCAGCCCAGCUGUAGGCAUUGCUGCUGUGAUCUCAUGACAGCGCAUGGCUCUUUCUUGCAGGUGACAGCAGGAGGGAGAAGGGAACCUUUCCAGGAAAUCAGCCCGUCAGAGCCAAGCAUCUGCAUGUCCUAGGAAGCCUGGACAGAUGCAUUGCACUGCUGGUGUGGCCCCAGAGCUCCUCAGCUGCACGAUUCAGAAAGUUUUCUUAGCUCUUCCCUGCCAUCAAGCAACUACUGAUUUCCCAAACUUCUCAUUCCUUUCCCAAACACCAACUAAACUUUGCUCCACUGAAGCCUAAACACUAAGAAAAUAGAGAUGAAGAUACAAUGGUCAAUAUAGAAUGGCUAAUUUUUACAGAAAUAUGCUGCGGAUUGGACAAAAGUCAUAUUUCUUUCCUCUUUUUGCAGUUCUCCUUUUGGCAGCACAUGCGUUUCCUGUGUUGUGAAGUUCACAUCCCUGCAGUUUUGAGCAGCCUCAGUCACUCAGCACAGGGCUGGGGCUGUACUCAGUGGUGAGGCUGCUCUCCUGGCUUCUGCCUAAUGCAGCGUGUAGGUAGGGAUAGGGUUAGUGAGGUGGUGAGGCUCACUGGAGAAGCUGACGAGUCUUUUCAUUGAAGAUCAUCUCUGUGGCAAGUGUUAAUGAGCUACACUGGCUCUGGGAUGGCGGGAAAAGAUUUUGAGAUACUUCUGCUGACACCGUGUUCACUUGCAUGUAUGAAUGGAGAUGCCUCUGCCUUCCCCUUUCCUCUAAAGCUCAGUAGCUGGCUGAUUUCUUUUUUAACUUGAGUGUUCAGAAAAACACUGUUGAACUGUGAUGUCUCCAGAGGUUUGUAGUAAGAAAACAAUGAUGUUAAUUUGUCCAGUCUAGAAGCAGAAAGUUGAAAAAAAAAAAAAAAGAAAAAAAUAAUCAAAUACACUGUGUUCUUUGUUCUAAAUACCUGGAUUUGAGGGCCCUUGUUGAAAAUAAGUGCCAUAGAUGGCU